AUGCUCUUGUUCCAGACAAGAACAAGUGCAGAUCUUUCUUCUGAUCAUCCAGGUGAAAGAGCAGAACCCUGCAGAGAAGCUGCACCUGAGCCACUCAGCAACGAGAUGCAGGAGAGUUCACUCAUGGAUGCUGACGUCAAGGGGUUAGUGGAACUCAAACAAGAGAGCCCGGCCCAGAUGCCAUCCGCCAAACAAAACCCAGAGAAGGAAAUGAAAAGCAACAAAGAAGAUUCUUCUGAGAAAAACAGCAAGGAUGGUCUAGAGAAUGAUGGGAAGAACACUUCGAAGUAUAAAACUUUAUCCUAUAGAAAGAUCCGCAGAGGAAACACCAGACAGAGGGUUGAUGAGUUUGAGGCUAUGGUGAAGUCAUAGCUCUGUGCUCCAAGCAUUAUGACGCAUACUGAUUAUGCAUAACUGAAAAAUUGUAUAGGGAUGCUCCAUCAAAAAUGGUAUUUUGUUGUUUUUUUCUACAUAAUUUUGGGGCUUAAAACCACUUUUCUUUUGUUAGAAAACAAGAAAACUGGCUCCCUUUUUUUUAAUGUGCAACAAGCUUCUUCAUGUAUGUUUUGCCUAAAUCUUUUUAUCAAAUGUCAUGCUUCUGGAUUAAAGAAAACAGAUUUUAGCCAUUGCAAAUUUGCAAAACAAUCCCUACUUCUAUGGAAAGAUGUUUUCUUGUUUAAACAGAAUAAUAAAGAUAGAAGGAAAUUUUGUGUUUUUUAAUUCUGUAUGUUUAUCUUGCACUAUUUGCAAAACUUUUGAAGUUGCUUUGCAGUAAUACUUUUUAUGUAACAUUUUCAAGCCAUUUAAAUUGAGGAAAAACAUGAGAGCUGUAACACAUCUUUUUGCAACACCUCCACCCCCACUUGCAAGUGCUCACUGUUACACUGCUCCCUGUCCGCUUUAUCCCUCACUCCUAACACACAGUGUAUUGAUGGACGCAACAGAUAUCUUCCACUAAUGUUAGUGUCAGGAUUUAACUCUUGAAUGUAACAUUUGUUGUUCCAGCAGAUCUAGCAUAAACAUUGUGAAGCUGACAAUCGUAACCUACUCAAAUUAGCAGCUUGGCACCUGUAUCCCCU
rnacentral:lncRNA from 1 species